UCGAGCGCCCCGCAAGGGGAGCGGCAGACGGGUGAGUAACGCGUGGGAAUCUACCCAUCCCUACGGAACAACUCCGGGAAACUGGAGCUAAUACCGUAUACGCCCUUCGGGGGAAAGAUUUAUCGGGGAUGGAUGAGCCCGCGUUGGAUUAGCUAGUUGGUGGGGUAAUGGCCUACCAAGGCGACGAUCCAUAGCUGGUCUGAGAGGAUGAUCAGCCACACUGGGACUGAGACACGGCCCAGACUCCUACGGGAGGCAGCAGUGGGGAAUAUUGGACAAUGGGCGCAAGCCUGAUCCAGCCAUGCCGCGUGAGUGAUGACGGCCCUAGGGUUGUAAAGCUCUUUCGCAGGUGAAGAUAAUGACGGUAACCUGAGAAGAAGCCCCGGCUAACUUCGUGCCAGCAGCCGCGGUAAUACGAAGGGGGCUAGCGUUG
rnacentral:rRNA from 1 species